UACGUAGGGGGCGAGCGUUGUCCGAAGUUACUGGGCGUAAAGAGCGCGUAGGCGGGUCUUUAAGUGAGAGGUGAAAGGUUCAGGGCUUAACCCGGACACUGCCUUUCAAACUGGAGACCUUGAGUGCGGGAGAGGCGAGUGGAAUGGUCGGUGUAGCGGUGAAAUGCGUAGAUAUCGAUCGGAACACCCAUGGCGAAGGCAGCUCGCUGGCCCGCAACUGACGCUGAGGCGCGAAAGCGUGGGGAGCAAACAGG
rnacentral:rRNA from 1 species